rnacentral:rRNA from 1 species
CAGCCGCCGCGGUAAUACCGGCGGCCCGAGUGGCGGUCACUAUUAUUGGGCUUAAAACGUCCGUAGCCGGGUUGGGAAGUCCUCCGGGAAAUCUGGCCGCUUAACGGUCAGAAUGCCGGAGGAUACUCCCAGCCUAGGGAGCGGGAGAGGCCGAGGGUAUUCCCGGGGUAGGGGUGAAAUCCUAUAAUCCCGGGAGGACCACCUGUGGCGAAGGCGCUCGGCUGGAACGCGUCCGACGGUGAGGGACGAAGGCCAGGGGAGCAAACCGGAUUAGAUACCCGGGUAGUCCUGGCUGUAAACGAUGCGGACUUUGUGUCGGACAAGCUAUGAGCUUGUUCGGUGCCGGAGGGAAACCGUUAAGUCCGCCGCCUGGGGAGUACGGCCGCAAGGCUGAAACUUAAAGGAAUUGGCGGG